AUGGAGCGGAAAAGAGUAAUAAUUAAAUGACCAGCCAGUUGGGCAGAGUAGAAUGCCAGUGACAGAAACUAAAAUCGCCACUAUUUUCUUUGAUUGAGUCGAGCCCACUUAUCUCUAUAGUAUAAAACAUAGAGGCUUCAUAUGAAACACAUGGGCUGCCAUAUGUACUAAGCCCAGCAAAACCUUUAAAGUCAAGAUAGUGGGCCGCUAAUUUCCACAUACAAGUUCACGAAACAUCAAAUGAGGACCGUUACUUCUAUUUUUUGGGCUUUUGGAAACAAGAAACUAGUGGAUUGAAUAUUAUAGAAACAAAAACCCUAAAGGCCAGGAGAUUGAUUAUAUAGUGGACGUGAAUCAAAGUGAAAGGGAUCCCCUAAUUAAUUUUUCGUAGGGCAGAGGAGGUUGACGGCAGAAACACAACAGCAGGCUGCGAUCAAGAGGAAAGAAAGAAAAGAAAGGAUUGGUUCGAGCUUCAAGCCGCAAUCAAGUUUCAAGUUCGGGUUGAGAUGAACUAGAGGAUUGUAAUGCGUCCUGGUGCAAAUGGAGCGGAAAAGAGUAAUAAUUAAAUGACCAGCCAGUUGGGCAGAGUAGAAUGCCAGUGACAGAAACUAAAAUCGCCACUAUUUUCUUUGAUUGAGUCGAGCCCACUUAUCUCUAUAGUAUAAAACAUAGAGGCUUCAUAUGAAACACAUGGGCUGCCAUAUGUACUAAGCCCAGCAAAACCUUUAAAGUCAAGAUAGUGGGCCGCUAAUUUCCACAUACAAGUUCACGAAACAUCAAAUGAGGACCGUUACUUCUAUUUUUUGGGCUUUUGGAAACAAGAAACUAGUGGAUUGAAUAUUAUAGAAACAAAAACCCUAAAGGCCAGGAGAUUGAUUAUAUAGUGGACGUGAAUCAAAGUGAAAGGGAUCCCCUAAUUAAUUUUUCGUAGGGCAGAGGAGGUUGACGGCAGAAACACAACAGCAGGCUGCGAUCAAGAGGAAAGAAAGAAAAGAAAGGAUUGGUUCGAGCUUCAAGCCGCAAUCAAGUUUCAAGU
rnacentral:lncRNA from 1 species